rnacentral:rRNA from 1 species
GACGUAGGGCGCGAGCGUUGUCCGGAAUUAUUGGGCGUAAAGAGCUCGUAGGCGGCUUGUCGCGUCGACUGUGAAAACCCGUGGCUCAACCAUGCGGUCUGCAGUCGAUACGGGCAGGCUAGAAUUCGGUAGGGGAGACUGGAAUUCCUGGUGUAGCGGUGAAAUGCGCAGAUAUCGUGAGGAAGACCAGUGGCGAAGGCGGGUCUCUGGACAGUUCCUGACACUGAGGCACGAAGGCCAGGGGGAGCAAAACGGGG